UACGUAGGGUGCAAGCGUUGUCCGGAAUUAUUGGGCGCAAAGAGCUCGUAGGCGGUCUGUCGCGUCUGCUGUGAAAACUCGGGGCUUAACCCCGGGCCUGCAGUGGGUACGGGCAGACUAGAGUGCGGUAGGGGAGACUGGAAUUCCUGGUGUAGCGGUGAAAUGCGCAGAUAUCAGGAGGAACACCGGUGGCGAAGGCGGGUCUCUGGGCCGUAACUGACGCUGAGGAGCGAAAGCAUGGGGAGCGAACAGG
rnacentral:rRNA from 1 species